rnacentral:rRNA from 1 species
UACGGAGGGUGCAAGCGUUGCUCGGAAUUAUUGGGCGUAAAGGGUAGGUAGGUGGUCUUAUUUGUCUAGGGUGAAAUCCUUGAGCUUAACUCAAGAAGUGCCCUAGAAACGGUAAGACUAGAGUCCUGGAGAGGGUCGUGGAAUUCCCGGUGUAGCGGUGAAAUGCGUAGAGAUCGGGAGGAACACCAGAGGCGAAGGCGGCGACCUGGACAGGCACUGACACUCAACUACGAAAGCGUGGGGAGCAAACAGG